GAAGAAACCCGCCUACGUGUAGGCGGCUGACUGUACCGUAAGAAUAAGGACCGGCUAACUCCGUGCCAGCAGCCGCGGUAAUACGGAGGGUCCGAGCGUUAUCCGGAAUCAUUGGGUUUAAAGGGUCCGUAGGCGGGCCUGUAAGUCAGGGGUGAAAGUUUGUGGCUCAACCAUAAAAUUGCCUUUGAUACUGCAGGUCUUGAGUCAUGGUGGGGUUGCCGGAACAUGUGGUGUAGCGGUGAAAUGCAUAGAUAUCACAUAGAACACCGAUCGCGAAGGCAGGUGACCAACCAUGUACUGACGCUGAUGGACGAAAGCGUGGGUAGCGAACGGGAUUAGAUACCCCGGUAGUCCACGCCGUAAACGAUGGAUACUAGCUGUGGGGACCUCGGUCUCCGUGGCCAAGCGAAAGUGAUAAGUAUCCCACCUGGGGAGUACGUUCGCAAGAAUGAAACUCAAAGGAAUUGACGGGGGCCCGCACAAGCGGUGGAGCAUGUGGUUUAAUUCGAUGAUACGCGAGGAACCUUACCAGGGCUUAAAUGCAGGCUGCAUGGGGUGGAGACAUCCCUUUCUUCGGACUGCCUGCAAGGUGCUGCAUGGUUGUCGUCAGCUCGUGCCGUGAGGUGUCAGGUUAAGUCCUAUAACGAGCGCAACCCCUGCCGUUAGUUGCCAGCAUGUAAAGAUGGGGACUCUAACGGGACUGCCGGUGCAAACCGUGAGGAAGGUGGGGACGACGUCAAAUCAUCACGGCCCUUACGUCCUGGGCCACACACGUGCUACAAUGGCCCGGUACAGAGGGAAGCCACCCCGCAAGGGGGCGCGGAUCUACAAAACCGGUCACAGUUCGGAUCGGGGUCUGC
rnacentral:rRNA from 1 species